rnacentral:ncRNA from 1 species
CCGCCGAGCGCGCCGCCCACGGCCGCCUCGGUAUUGCUACCGGCAAACGCGGUGCCGCUGAGCAGGCUCGCAGACAACAGCAGAAUCGACGAAUACUUCAUAGGAAAACCCCGAUUGGUGGAUUGCGCCGCGAUCUGAACCCGUAACGCCGCCGUCCACAAGCAUUCAUCGAUAAAUUGCGUGAGCCAUCUC